rnacentral:rRNA from 1 species
GACGAACUGUCCUAACGUUGUUCGGAAUCACUGGGCUUAAAGGGCGCGUAGGCGGCCAAGCAAGUCCGGGGUGAAAGCCCCCAGCUCAACUGGGGAAGUGCCUUGGAUACUGCUUGGCUUGAGCGAGGUAGGGGCAGCUGGAACUUCCGGUGGAGCGGUGAAAUGCGUUGAUAUCGGAAGGAACGCCGGUGGCGAAAGCGAGCUGCUGGACCUUUUCUGACGCUGAGGCGCGAAAGCUA